GGUGACAUACGCCUACCGUCCUUCACAGGGUUUGCUUGGGCUGUUACAAGGAGGGGCUGGGCCGAGUGAAACGAAGCCUCAGUUUUUACUUUUCUGCGUGCACCUCGUGUUUUGUUUUCACAGCUGAACCCUUGCGUAUGUAUGUCCGCUUAACUGCUAAAGGUAAACAGCUUUUGGCAAGUUGAUUAGCUGAUCAACAAACAAGGUUACGAGAAGCUUUCGUCGAGAAUUAAAAAAGAAAAAAAUUCUUGCGGCGCCAGCAUGCGGACGUCAUUUACGUUGCUUGUGUGUUGCCACACGUUGGAAAUUUACGUUCCGGCGACUACGCGGUAAAGUUCGCCAAAGCGGUUAGCCUUGGUCGCUGCAACGUAGCCUCACGUGCGGACGGACAGUCAUACGGUGUCUUCACAGGCGUCGUGUUUAACGUUUGCCUGAACAUAGAGAAGUACCCUGUGGUGUGUUUUGGUGGUCACUGCGCUACGCUGCUGGUACUUGAAGCUGAGCAGAGUGGCAUGUCGUUGCACUCUGCUGCUGACUGAACACCUUUCCUCUGCUGUUUGUGCACUUCACUCGUCGGAUGCAUGUGAAUCACCAUGGAAGGCACAACCAUCAUUCUUGUCAGCCUUGCCUCACUUUUCGCACUCUUCAUCUUCUCGUGCUGUUACUGCAAUGCAAAAGCCGCACAACGGUCAUUGAAAGAGCAGCAAAAUGAUGGCACAGAAGUUGCCAUGUACGCAACGGGGCUGCUAAUUAACAUGACAUCUGCGGACCAUUGUGCCGUUGAUGGGAAUUGUGGCGGGGUCGGUGAUGGUGGCGCAUGCGGUGGUGAUGUAUGGGCUGAUGGUGGCAUAUGUGGUGGUUUCUGAAAUGAUGGUUGCUGGUCGUUUCUGAAAUGAUGGUUGCUGAACGAUCUUAGAGAAACACAAAAGAACACACUAAGUAUGCUCUUUAGUGCUAGAAUGUGCUUAUUGCUUGACUCGAUUUUCAAUGCAUAGGCAGCGAGAGGUUGAUUGUUGGUGGAGAAAAUGAAGGGCACAAUAUUUCUUUCCAAAUUUGACACACAUUCUGAAGUGACAUUGUUAUCAGUAUGACGUCAUGGGUUUUAAGGUAUUUACCCAUGCUUGGGCAUUAUUGUUGUAGAAACUCAAGAGAAUGAGUCUCUGGUUUCUUUAAUUUGCAAUAUAACUCAUGUUUAUUGAUAAAUCUGUAACUAGUCCCGAGCAAAUUCUGUUCGAAUCUCAGGAUGAGGAGCUAGCACAGGAACUGCCUUUCAUUUGUUUUUGCAUCUUUUCUGGUUUGCCAAUAUUUCUCUCCCAGCGAGACUGGUAUUCCAGAAAUAAUGAUGAAAUCAAAUAGCAACUUGCUGUCAUUCUGUUAUCCCAGAAGUGUAAUUUACCAAUCCAGCUUGAAAAGGUACUGACAUAUUUUUAAGCUUUCAUUUCCUUGCAUUAAAUAUUGUUAUGAAGGUCCAAACCCUCUAAACUGUAGCAAAAGAUUAUGCAGAUGCAACCCACAUUUGAAUCUGAGAAGCGAACAUUUCGGCAGUUAAAUAAAUGCCGUGCAACUGAUUGUAUUGUGUACAGGGUUUUACAUCAUAGCGAUUACAUGCCUGCCGGUGAAGACGGCAAGGUGCAUAUCCAGUGUCGGCGCACCAACUAGAGCUGGCCCAUCCUGGAGAUAAUGCUACAGUAAACUGCACUUGGUAAAGACCAACCAAGCAGAUGCCCCGAACCCCAAACCAUAGAAAAGUAGGCAUAGAAAGGUUUGUUUUAUUAAAGGAAUUGUGCUCUUGAUGAUGCAGAUAUGUUGCAGUUGGGAUACCUAGGCAUCAUUUGUUUUUAUCACGGUGUAGAACUACAAGCCAGCAGCCGGGACACCUGUAAGGUUAGUAAAGAUGGUCAUGCUGUCCCUAGCACGAGGUAUUCUGCAAGAGAGAAAGCACCCAGCCACAGUUAGAAAAGUCCGGGAAGGUUUGCAAAGAAAGCUUCGCUUUAAAAUGGGCAAGUGUGAGAGCACUCCAAAUAAUUUACUGUAAUGCUUGUUUCUACGGACCCUAUUCAGUUUUACUACCCAGAUGGGGAAUGCAUCGUGAUGUCAUGGCAAACUGGCUUCCUCUGUUCCUGUGAUCGCUGUGGCUUCCACAUGUGAGCCCAGCCAGUGGAAAUCAGUGCAACAGUUUUAUCUGUUGUGAGCAAAAUUGUCAUAACCAUCUUUAUUGCGACACAACGAUGGCAAAUUUUGCUCUGUGUUGCGACAUCAUGAUAAUGCCAUUGAAGCCAAGCCUGUGAUUUCAUGACCAAUUUUAGCAUCAGUUUAAAAUUAUUUAUAAGUGUUGACGGCUUUCAUACCUAGCUGCUAAGUGUCAUCCAUUUGCGUGCGAGAAGCAUGUGGUAGUGCUUGUGCAAUUGGAAAGUGUCUGUUGUCAUUCCUUUAAUUUGACAUUCCCUCUUGGUAUCCCUUUAAAAGGACACUUUAAAGAAAUGACGUUAGAUUGGUUGUUUACACUUGUGCAAUGCUAAAUAGAUGGUCUUGCAGUGAAGGGAGCAUUGCUGAGUUGGAAAACCGUCAAAGGUCAGCAUCAUCUUGCAAUUCAUGCUUCUUAUAAGCUAUGACGUCAUGGAUUUUCACAGUCUGCUUGAGGCUAGUUAAUUUAGCUAUACAGAAGGAUUGUCUUAAUGUAAAGACAACAGAAAAUGUAAAGGGGGCUGACACUGCCUCGAAAUGUUUAUGCCAGCUCCCGGUGAUAUUGUGGAUAUUAUGCCCCAUAUUCUAGAAUGUUCCUCCAUUCAGAAUUCCUACUUGACUCAAAGAAGUGGAUGGCAGUGCUACCUCCAAACUGAAGUGGUCACUGCUCUUUAAUGGCACUCCCAGUUGACUUGUGAACGAAAAUUUUUCACCCAAAUGCUAUCGGUUUCUGCCUGAAUGCACUGGAAUGAAUGUAUGUUUCUCAAGCAACAUCUCGGAGGAAUUAGCGAGAAGCUUUAUUACAUCUUAGCAUAUUCAUCAGUCGAGAGGUGCCGCUGUGCUCCACCUGAAGAGCUUUGAGUCGAGUCUCAUUUGGGAAUGCAUAGGUUGAAGUGUCUUCUCAAGGCUAAGUAAUCAAUUUUCACAUGCAUCACAUUUGUUAAGUGUGAAAGGACUCAAGCUGACAGCAUUUUGGACAUCCUCCUCUGCAGUAAAACUUGAAAGUGUGUCAAAAUAUGAUGAAAUUGAUGACUUCGCAUCACCACCGUGGUGUGGAUGGUGCUGAAAAUGUAAUUUCAGUUGCAGAGUUCUGCCUUCAUUUUAUUCGCUAAUGACCAACAUUUUUCUGCCAAGGAGAAAACCAUAGAACUUUGACAGAAUUCUGUAUCACUCUAGACAUUAGUGUUUGUCCUUAGUGACCCUUUCAGGCAUGUUGAGGCAUUUGCAUACACAGCAUUUGUUCAGGUUUAACUGCUUAUCUAGUGAUGUUUCUGAGGCAGUGUCUGCUUCUUUGCAUUGCACCAUGAACUGAAACGCAUGAAAUUUCUAUAAAGAUAAAGCUUUUGUUGAACUACCUGCAUUAAUUAAAAUGUGUUUGUUUCUUCAUUACUCUGUCAAAAAGUAACUCUUAUUGAUAUUUUGUGGCCAUUGUGUCCUAGUCAUAUUUGCAUCACAGUAACAUUGAAGCUGGCAAUCUGCUGUGCCUGUAGAGUUUUAGGAAUUUGUAAAUUGUUAAACGUAUGUUUCAAAGCUGGAGCAAGGGGGAAGUUCAUUUGAGAUGAAUUUUCCCAUUGUAGUUUCAGUGUGAGAUUGGUGAGAGGUGCAUUAGUGCAUAAUAUUUCUUCCAAUUCCAUUUUUUUUCUGUGCUUCUUGCAUUGCAUGUGCUUGUAAGUUUUCUGUAACAUUUUAUGCUUUCUGAAUUCUGAAAGGUUGUUGAAAGCCUCAUAUUAAAGCAGAUCCAGCACCUAUCAUAUGAAGAAAUAUGUUUGUCAUAAUAAAAGAGAUCUUCUCAGGAAAUCUAGCAGUUUCCUAUAGCACCUGCAACUUAGGUAGCAGUUAUAAGUAGCUUGAUAUGUGCAAACUUGGGCUGGUGUAUUAAAUCACUUUUUUAUCAUAAGAGUUGAAGGCUAUAGUUAUCCUUUAUGUAGCACAUCACAAUAAACAUUACAUUCAGCCUUGUGUACAUAUAAAUGCACUAUACCAGACCUAUGCUCAGUUCACUAUAGGCACAGCAUCUGCAUGCUUGACUUUCUCUUUGAGUGCCUUUUGUAACCACAUCUUGCGUUGUACUU